rnacentral:rRNA from 1 species
GAUGAACGCUGGCGGCGUGCCUAAUACAUGCAAGUCGAGCGAACAGACGAGGAGCUUGCUCCUCUGACGUUAGCGGCGGACGGGUGAGUAACACGUGGAUAACCUACCUAUAAGACUGGGAUAACUUCGGGAAACCGGAGCUAAUACCGGAUAAUAUAUUGAACCGCAUGGUUCAAUAGUGAAAGACGGUUUGGCUGUCACUUAUAGAUGGAUCCGCGCCGCAUUAGCUAGUUGGUAAGGUAACGGCUUACCAAGGCAACGAUGCGUAGCCGACCUGAGAGCAUGAUCACCCACACUGGCACUGAGAGACGGGCCAGCGUCCUACGGGAGGCAGCAGGGGGGAAUAGUGGGCAAUGGGCGCAAGCCUGAUCCAGCCAGACCGCGUGGGGGAAGAAGGCCGACGGGGUGUAAAGCCCUUGUGUUGGGAAAGAAAAGCAUCAGGAUAACACCCCGCGGUUCUGACGGUACCCAAAGAAUAAGCACCGGCUAACGGCGGG